AUAAGUGAAUAGUGAAUCUGGUGGCUCAACCAUACAGGCUAUUAUUCAAACUGUACAACUCGAGAGUGGUAGAGGUCACUGGAAUUUCUUGUGUAGGAGUGAAAUCCGUAGAUAUAAGAAGGAACACCGAUGGCGUAGGCAGGUGACUGGACCAUUUCUGACGCUAAGGCACGGAAAGCGUGGGGAGCGAACCGGAUUAGAUACCCGGGUAGUCCACGCCGUAAACGAUGGAUACUG
rnacentral:rRNA from 1 species